UCCCCGGUAGCUCAACCGGCAGAGCGGGUGGCUGUUAACCACUAGGUCGGGUGUUCGAAUCACCCCCGGGGAG
rnacentral:tRNA from 1 species